AAACAACCUUCAUACUAAUUUUUGACCAUGAAAAAUCUCAUUUUGAGCAAAGGUUUUCAUGGGUUUUAGUGUGAGAAAAUGAAGAUAGAGAGAGAAAGGUUCAACAAGAUAAAAAUGGUGUUUUCUAACUCUCCUAGCAUGAUAUUUGAGUUUAAUUGUUAUAAAAAAGCUUAGAAAGUUUGAUAUUAAUUUUGGAUAUAUUUUUGUGUGUAUGGAAAGAGAGAAAAUGUGUAAGGAUGGAUUUCAAGUUUGUUGGAGAUUGGAUUCAAGCUUUUGGAAGUGUGAUUUUGAGUAUUUUAACAUCUAAAAGGUAAGUAUCCUUAGAUAAUCUUGCUUU
rnacentral:lncRNA from 1 species